GUCUAUUUUGGAGAAUGACCCAUGUGCAGCUGAGAAGAAUGUGUAUUCUGAUUUUGUGGGGUGGAAGACUCUAUAAACAUCUGUUAAGUUCAUUUGUUCAAGAGUUCAAUUGAGUUCUAGUAUUUCAUUACUUAUUUUUAGUCUAGUUGAUCCAUCUAUUUGUGACAGUGGGGUGUUGAGGUCCCCCACUACAAUUGUAUUAGUGCAUAUAUGGCUUUUCAUGUCCGUUAGUAUUUGUUUUAUAUAGUUGGGAGCACUAGUGUUUGGUGCAGAGAUAUUUAUGAUUUUCAUCUCUUCCUCUUGGAUUCUUCCCUUUGCAAGGAUGUAGUGUUCUUCUUCAUCUCUCUUAAUAAGUGUUGGUUUGAAAUCUACUUGAUCUGCCAAGAGGAUAGCUACUCCCACUUUUUUUUUGGGUUCCUGUUGCAUGGAGUAUUGUUUUCUACCCUUUAACUUUCAGUCUAUGAGUUUCCUUUUGAAUUAAGUGUGUUUCUUGUAUUCGGCAUAUUGUUGGAUUUUGCUUCUUGACCCAUUCUGCCAGUCUAUUUCUUUUGAUUGGUGAAUUGAGACCAUUAACAUUGAUGGUUAUAACUGAAAGGUAUUGUCUUGUCCUUGCCAUGACUUUUUCUUUUUGUUGGGUUCUCCCCUUUUACAUUUAAUUUCUUGUCAUGCCAGAUGGGUUCCUUCUGCUUUGCUUCCUGGGGUUGCAAUCCUCAAUGUCUGUUCCUAGGCUAUUGUGUAAAAUUCUUUGGAGUGCUGGUCUGGUAUUCACAAAGUUCCUAAGGUGCUCUUUGUCAUGAAAAUAUCUUAUUUCUCCAUCCAUUUUGAAAGAGAGUUUUGCAGGGUACAUCAAUCUGGGUUGGAGGCUGUUUUCUUUUAGGGCUUGGAAUAUGUCACUCCAAGCUCUUCUUGCCUUGAUGGUUUGUGUUGAGAAGUCUGCUGUGAUUCUGCUGGGCUUUCCUUUGUAUGUGAUUUGUUUCCUUUCUCUGACUGCUUGUAGAACUUUGUUCUUCUGUUGUGUUUCUGGAAUUUUAACAAUUAUAUGUCUAUGUGUAGAUUUUUUUUGAUCGAGG
rnacentral:lncRNA from 1 species